rnacentral:tRNA from 1 species
GUGGGUAUAGCUCAGUGGUAGAGCCCACGCUUAGCAUGCAUGAGGUCCUAGGUUCAAUCCCCACUGCCUCCA